GUGGCGAACGGGUGAGUAACACGUUGGUGACCUGCCCUGAGGAGGGGAAUAACCGUGGGAAACCACGGCUAAUACCCCGGAUGUCUAAGCUGUUAGAGGGCUUAGACUAAAGCCCCUGCAAGGGGUGCGCCUCGGGAGGGGCCUGCGGGCUGUCAGCUUGUUGGUGGGGUAAUGGCUUACCAAGGCGAAGACGGCUAGGGGGCGUGAGAGCGCGACCCCCCACAAUGGAACUGAGACACGGUCCAUACUCCUACGGGAGGCAGCAGUGAGGAAUAUUGCGCAAUGGGGGCAACCCUGACGCAGCAACGCCGCGUGGACGAUGAAGGCCUUCGGGUUGUAAAGUCCUUUUCUGAAGGAAGAUAGUGACGGUACUUCAGGAAUAAGUCCCGGCUAACUACGUGCCAGCAGCCGCGGUAAAACGUAGGGGGCGAGCGUUAUCCGGAUUUACUGGGCGUAAAGCGCACGUAGGCGGCAUCGUAAGUUGGACGUGAAAGCUCCCGGCUCAACUGGGAGAGGUCGUUCAAAACUGUGGUGCUUGAGGUUGAUAGAGGAGAGUGGAAUUCCCGGUGUAGUGGUGGAAUGCGUAGAUAUCGGGAGGAACACCAGUGGCGAAGGCGGCUCUCUAGGUCACACCUGACGCUGAGGUGCGAAAGCGUGGGGAGCGAACGGGAUUAGAUACCCCGGUAGUCCACGCUGUAAACGAUGGAUACUAGGUGUGGGAGGUUAUUUACCCCUUCUGUGCCGUAGCUAACGCGUUAAGUAUCCCGCCUGGGGACUACGGCCGCAAGGUUAAAACUCAAAGGAAUUGACGGGGGCCCGCACAAGCAGCGGAGCGUGUGGUUUAAUUCGAUGAUACGCGAAGAACCUUACCUGGGCUUGACAUGGUGGUAGUAGUGAAGCGAAAGCGGAACGACCCUUCGGGGAGCCAUCACAGGUGCUGCAUGGCUGUCGUCAGCUCGUGU
rnacentral:rRNA from 1 species